rnacentral:rRNA from 1 species
GACGAACGCUGGCGGCGUGCUUAACACAUGCAAGUCGAACGGAAAGGCCCUGCGUUUGUGGGGUGCUCGAGUGGCGAACGGGUGAGUAACACGUGAGUAACCUGCCCUUGACUUUGGGAUAACUUCAGGAAACUGGGGCUAAUACCGGAUAGGAGCUCCUGCUGCAUGGUGGGGGUUGGAAAGUUUCGGCGGUUGGGGAUGGACUCGCGGCUUAUCAGCUUGUUGGUGGGGUAGUGGCUUACCAAGGCUUUGACGGGUAGCCGGCCUGAGAGGGUGACCGGGCACAUUGGGACUGAGAUACGGACCAGACUCCUACGGGAGGCAGCGGUGGGGAAUAUUGCACAAUGGGCGGACGCCUGAGGCGGCAACGCCGCGUGCGGGAUGACGGCCUUCGGGUUGUAAAACGCUUUCGCCUGUGACGAAGCGGGAGUGACGGUAAUGGGUAAAGAAGCACCGGCUAACUACGUG